AUGAAAUAUGUCAUUAAAGUUCUAGGUAUGAAUGACUGUUUUAGUUUUAAGUAACAAUAAAGUGUCGUCGGAAAUAUUUUGGAAGGUAGAUUUUUGUAGACUACUCAGUACGAAGGAGGAAAACCAUGUCUAAGAAUUAACUCUUUCGAAACAACCAAACAAAGUAUGGCAACCCUGCGGCGAGACAAUAGCCACGCCAGACGCCAGAGAAUCGUACGAUACCUGGCAUGCAAAAAUGGAGGUGUCAUACGAUCGAAGUAACCAAUGGCAGGCUUGGAGAGUUGCGCGCUCGCUGCCGCGCCGUAGUGGGAGAGAAAUGUCGGACCGAGAUGCAAAGUGCAGUAAACAGUUUAGAAUUCAGAUAACUGUGAGUUAUCUCUGAUGUUUACAAGAUAACUUUAUCUCGUAAUGUGAAUUCGGUCAAAGAUUAUUCGGAAGUUAUGCAUUUUGUAUAGCAUUACGUUCUCACUCAAUUAUUAUUCCUGAUUAUUUUGGGUUAUAAAUGUGAGGUGUUAUAAAAGGUUCUUAUGGAAUAUUAUACUGUAUCUGUAGUAGGCUAUGGCAUUACUACUUUUCCACAUAUAAAACAAAGCAUUUUUAAGCAUAAAUAUAUCUAAAUAUUCAAUUAA